AUUGAACGCUGGCGGCAUGCCUUACACAUGCAAGUCGAACGGCAGCAUGAUCUAGCUUGCUAGAUUGAUGGCGAGUGGCGAACGGGUGAGUAAUACAUCGGAACGUGCCCUGGAGUGGGGGAUAACUAGUCGAAAGAUUAGCUAAUACCGCAUACGACCUGAGGGUGGAAGUGGGGGACCGCAAGGCCUCAUGCUAUAGUAGCGGCCGAUGUCUGAUGAGCUAGUUGGUGAGGUAAAGGCUCACCAAGGCGACGAUCAGUAGCUGGUCUGAGAGGACGAUCAGCCACACUGGGACUGAGACACGGCCCAGACUCCUACGGGAGGCAGCAGUGGGGAAUUUUGGACAAUGGGGGCAACCCUGAUCCAGCAAUGCCGCGUGUGUGAAGAAGGCCUUCGGGUUGUAAAGCACUUUUGUCCGGAAAGAAAUCGCACUUACUAAUAUUAGGUGUGGAUGACGGUACCGGAAGAAUAAGGACCGGCUAACUACGUGCCAGCCGCCGCAGUAACAC
rnacentral:rRNA from 1 species